rnacentral:misc_RNA from 1 species
UCUCCGUUGGUGAACCAGCGGAGGGAUCAUUACAGAGUUGCAAAACUCCCAAACCUUUGUGAACGUUACCUAUCCCGUUGCUUCGGCGGGCGGCCCGGGCCCCGCGCCCGGCGCCCCCCGGCCCCCCGUGGGCGCCCGCCGGAGGUAAACCAAACCCUUGAAUUGCAUGGCCUCUCUGAGUCUUCUGUACUGAAUAAGUCAAAACUUUCAACAACGGAUCUCUUGGUUCUG